CCUACGGGAGGCAGCAGUGGGGAAUAUUGGGCAAUGGGCGCAAGCCUGAUCCAGCAACGCCGCGUGAAGGAAGAAGGCUUUCGGUUUGUAAACUUCUAUUAAGAGGGAAGAGCAGAAGACGGUACCUCUUGAAUAAGCCACGGCUAACUACGUGCCCGCAGCCGCGGUAAUACGUAGGUGGCAAGCGUUGUCCGGAUUUACUGGGUGUAAAGGGCGUGUAGCCGGGUUGACAAGUCAGAUGUGAAAUCCCGUGGCUCAACCACGGAACUGCAUUUGAAACUGUCGGUCUUGGGUAUCGGAGAGGCAGGCGGAAUUCCUAGUGUAGCGGUGAAAUGCGUAGAUAUUAGGAGGAACACCAGUGGCGAAGGCGGCCUGCUGGACGGCAACUGACGGUGAGGCGCGAAAGCGUGGGGAGCAAACAGGAUUAGAUACCCCUGUAGUC
rnacentral:rRNA from 1 species